GAUGAACGCUGGCGGCGUGCUUAACACAUGCAAGUCGAACGAUGAAGCCCAGCUUGCUGGGUGGAUUAGUGGCGAACGGGUGAGUAACACGUGAGUAACCUGCCCUUAACUCUGGGAUAAGCCUGGGAAACUGGGUCUAAUACCGGAUAGGAGCGCCUACCGCAUGGUGGGUGUUGGAAAGAUUUAUCGGUUUUGGAUGGACUCGCGGCCUAUCAGCUUGUUUGUGAGGUAUUGGCUCACCAAGGCGACGACGGGUAGCCGGCCUGAGAGGGUGACCGGCCACACUGGGACUGAGAGACGGCACAGACUCCUACGGGAGGCAGCAGUGGGGAAUAUUGCACAAUGGGCGAAAGCCUGAUGCAGCGACGCCGCGUGAGGGAUGACGGCCUUCGGGUUGUAAACCUCUUUCAGUAGGGAAGAAGCGAAAGUGACGGUACCUGCAGAAGAAGCACCGGCUAACUACGUG
rnacentral:rRNA from 1 species